rnacentral:rRNA from 1 species
GACGAACGCUGGCGGCGUGCUUAACACAUGCAAGUUGAACGGGGAUAUCGUUUUCGGAUGAUAUCUUAGUAGCGGACGGGUGAGUAACGCGUGAGCAACCUACCUUUGUGAGGGGGACAACAGCUGGAAACGGCUGCUAAUACCGCAUAAGACCACAGCCCUGAGUGGGGCAGUGGUAAAAGAUUUAUCGCACAAAGAUGGGCUCGCGUCCCAUUAGCUAGUUGGUGAGGUAACGGCCCACCAAGGCUUCGAUGGGUAGCCGACCUGAGAGGGUGAUCGGCCACACUGGAACUGAGACACGGUCCAGACUCCUACGGGUGGCAG